rnacentral:rRNA from 1 species
GACGAACGCUGGCGGCGUGCUUAACACAUGCAAGUCGAACGGAAAGGCCCUGCUUGCAGGGUACUCGAGUGGCGAACGGGUGAGUAACACGUGGGUGAUCUGCCCUGCACUUCGGGAUAAGCCUGGGAAACUGGGUCUAAUACCGGAUAGGAGCCAUUUUUAGUGUGAUGGUUGGAAAGUUUUUUCGGUGUAGGAUGAGCUCGCGGCCUAUCAGCUUGUUGGUGGGGUAAUGGCCUACCAAGGCGGCGACGGGUAGCCGGCCUGAGAGGGUGGACGGCCACAUUGGGACUGAGAUACGGCCCAGACUCCUACGGGAGGCAGAAGUGGGGAAUAUUGAACAAUGGGCGCAAGCCUGAUGCAGCGACGCCGCGUGGGGGAUGACGGCCUUCGGGUUGUAAACUCCUUUCGCUAGGGACGAAGCUUUUUGUGACGGUACCUAGAUAAGAAGCACCGGCUAACUACGUG